rnacentral:lncRNA from 1 species
CGUGCUCGCAGGGGCUCGCCACAGAACGGCUCGGGGAAGUGACGGCUGAGUCUCACGUUUUGUGGCCGCGGUCUCUGUCUCUCUCGGCCGGAGGUACUUAGGUGUUUGCAAGCCGCGAAGAGGUUGAUACAGCGCAGACCGGCACGGAUGGCUGGGGCGAAGUCGGUUAAGGUCUUUGUUGAGUAUUGUGGUGGAUGAGGGUACAUCACUCGCUUCGAGGAACUGAAGAAGCAGAUCCUCGCCAAGGUACCCACCGCCAGCGUGACUGGCAGUAUAGGACGCAAAACGGCCUUUGAAGUUGAAAUCAAUGGUGUCCAGGUGUUCUCCAAGCUGGAAAAAAAUGCCUUUCCAGAUUUUGCGGAGGUUGCCACUCGAGUUUUGGAGGCCAGCCAAGGCAAAUCGAUCAAGGCUGUAACUGGUGUCCAAAAAUAGCCCUGAGGGUCGCACUCUCAUGCAUGUGGUCGGCUUACAACUUUUCCGCUAAUCUACCAUGCAGUUGGCAACCUUGGAACAAUAGCUGAAGGUCCUGGAAGGUGCACCGAUGAUGGCUCGAUCACAAAUCUCAAAACGGGUCUUGCCUGAAGAAUUAGCACCUCCCUGCCCAAUGCUUCUUGCUCUAAUAAUUCACGUAUAGACUAUGCAGUAGAAAAUGCAUCUAUUUUUUACACCCUGUGUGUGGUUUUCUGAGGUUAUAUAACUUUUUGAAAUUUGGAACUGGCUUACUACGUAAAAAAGACACACAGUUAUAGUCCGACUCAUAUCAAAACCUUACCUUCAUUUUGCAGCCAGUGAUGGCUAAAUAACAUUACAUCUAUGAUGUAUUGUUAAAGGCUGAUGUGUACCUGUUAUAUUUUAAGUAUGUAUCGGUAGAAUGGAAUGACUCGGUUGCAAAAACAUGCGACUACACAGCAUGCUUACAUUUGGCAUGCUUGGCCUUGCACAGGCUUCACGGAUAUGUUGCUUCUGUUAUACAACAACAAACACAGUAACUUUCUUGCUAGCUUGUACAAUGUGCAUUUCAGCACGUAAUACAAGCCAAGUGGCAUGAUUAGUUAGAAGCGGGUCAGUGAAGACAGCAAGGAUAAUAAGCACUUCACAUUAUCUGUACCUAAUCGUCAAUGGUUGUUUUUAAAUAGCCUCAAUCUUACCCAGUUUAUCAGGCUCAAUUGUACACAAAACUAGCUGUCAACACCUUCUACACCCUGACGCACCUCAGGCAUCAGGUUCACUGAUGCCUGACGGAAUCUAGUGGGAAACGAGACACCGUUUGUCCUUAAGAAUAUCAGCUGCUUGAGACCAUGAAGUCUGCUUUGCAAGCAGAUGUGCAGCAAAAAUUAUUGCUGCAGUCCCACAAGUGCCAAUCUGCCAUCAGAUAUUCUAGCUGGUAGUGCUCGAAAAGACAAGCUGCAAUUGUAAAUCUAGUGCUACAUUCCUUCAUGGUGAAACAAACGCAAUAUGCAUGAGAACUUGGAAAGAACACAGGACAGAGUGCUUACUAGCUAACGAAAAUUUUAUUUCGGAAAGAACAUUCUUAUUAUGCAUCACACGAAUGCACAUCACCGUAAACCACCCUUACUAUCAUAAAAAGUGUGAAUCAACGAAAGAUCGUUAUGAUAAACGAUUGCAUACGGCGGGGAAACAUUUGUCAAACCCCGAAAAUAACAAGAAGAGAAAUUCACCGAGUCACAUUACGUCCAAAAAAGCCAGCUCAUAAUCUGUUUGGGGAUGAGACGCCUGGCUGAUGCACUUAUCACCUGCUUUUGUCAUUAAAAAAGCUUAAAUUAUUUCUCUCA